CGACUCUGGUUUCUCUUUCAUUAGGCAAAGGGAUUUCGCCUUUUACUAAAGACUUCCGUGGAGAGGGAAUACUUACGAGUUCAACAUAUUUUUGGAGGUGCUUUGCUUCUUGCAGAGCC